GUAUGGUCAUGAAAAAAUAUCAUCACAAAGUCAAUAUUUGUAGGAUUUUUGCAUGGUAAGUAUGAUUUUUAGAUUUGUCAUCAAAUACACAUUCGAUCGUAACUCAAAUCAUGAAGAAUAAACAUUUUCCAUGUGCUUUUCUGUCAUUCUUCGUUUGGUCGUUGAAGGGUUCGGACGUGUUUUUCGAAGCUCUCGACGUCGUGACCUAAUUAUAAUUUGAACUGCGCGGGUAAAGAACGCUCAUUUGCGGCUUGGACAUUGACCAAUACGGACGUGUUUUUAAAGCGCUCUGAAAAAAGUUUUGACUUUUAAAUUUUUUUUACUACGACAGAAUCUUAGUUGACUGAUGGUCUUUGACAAAGACAGACUUGUUUUUGUGAGCUCUGAACAAAAUUUGACUUUGAAAUAUUUUUACGAUUAAAAAGUUUCAGUUGACUUUUGAACGUUGACGAAGACGGACGUACUUUCGUGAGCUCUGACUAUUGAUGAAAAGUUUUCGCGUUAUAGAAUAGCGACUUGGUACUCAGGUUGUUGAAUGACUGGAUGACUGAAGUGUUAGGUUAUUGUUAUGAGAUAACAACUUGACUUUGACUUGAGUUGUGAAAUGAAAUCAUACUCUUAUGCGAUGUUAACUUUUGAACGUUUAGUAUUGACUGACAACGAAAUUUUGUGAGCGUUAUAUAUGAAAUGUUUGACUUACAUUAAUUUUUUUGAACGACUUGACUUCACUUUAAGUUUUGACAUCGGACUGAUCGGACGUGUUUUUUUAAGCUCUGACUGUUGUGAAUAAUUAAAUUUAUGUUGUGGUGUCAAGCGAUUGACUGUCAGUUGAGGUUCAGAUGUCGAGCUGUGCGGACGUGUUCAUCGAGCUGCUGUCUACAAAAAACGUGAGUACAAAUUUUUUUCGUUUUACUGUUUACAAGUUGCGUGAUGAUGUAUGAUGGUUGUAAUGUGUUGGGUAGAAAUUACUCAGUGCUGAUACAGUGUCGAUAUGUUGUGAUGAGCGAUAAUAGUGGAUGAUGGUGGAACAGAAUAUUCAUUGAGCUAUUUUGAGGAAGCGAACAUAUGAUGGAAAAAUGUUGCAAAAAUAUUAAAUGCAUGUGCUUAUAUGUACUAAAUAUGAUAUUGCUUUACUUGUAUUUGCAUGCUGUUAACAUUUCUAUUUUAUUCCAGUGGGCUGUGGUGAGUAUUGCAGAUUUAACUUGUAUGUGUGGUUUUUAGUUAACGAUGCUUAAUGAAAACUGUUAUUGUACACUUAGUAUGGAAUGAUGUGAAUGAUGAUAUGAUGGGUAGAAUUAAUCAGUGCUUGUGUCUAGAAAUGCUGAAUGUUUAUUGAAAAGGCUAAAUGCUAGCCAGUACUAAGAGUUGAGCUACCGUGGGAAUGUGAAACGAACUGAUGGUGUAAUAUGAUGGUGUAUUGACAUACUUUUCUUAUAUGUACUAAAUAUGAUAUUGCUUUACUUGUAUUUGCAUGCUGUUAACAUUUCUAUUUUGUUCCAGUGUGCUGUGGUGAGUACUGUAGAUAUUACUUGAUUUUUAGUGUCUAUGAAUGCUGAUGUAUGAUAGCUAUAGCAUGAGCUCAAUGCUAACCAGUAUUAUGAGUUGAUGUAUUGUGGUGAUGCUAAUCGAACUGAUGAUGUAACAUGAUGGUGAACACUUACUGAAUGCAUAAAAUUUAUUGAAUUGCAUUUGUUGAUAUGCACUAUAAUAUGAUAAAUGUAUUGCUUUACAUGUAUAUUUCAUGAUGUUUAAUUUCAGUGGGCUGUGGUGAGUACUGUAGAUUGUAUUGCCUAUGUAUAGAAUUCAAUAAAAGAUUAUGACUGAAAACUGCUUUUGAUUCUUUUUGAACAGUUUUAGGGACUAUAAGUCUAUAACAAAAAUAUGUCGGUUGGCGUUCAUACAGCAAUGUUUUGAGUAGUACAGAAAUGUUUCUACGUUUGUGGUCGCCAGUUGUCUGUGAUGUGUAAAGUGAAAAAUACACGGAGCUUUGAAUACAACAAACAGUUACUGUUUUAACACAGAUUGUGUGCUAUGCAUUUUUCGAUGUAGAUCUUUUUCAGAUUUGACAUGAAAUGUAGACCUGACAUUUGAACAGAGCUGGGAAACGAAAAGGUAAGUUUGUUAAAUUUCACAAUGAACACUUGUGUUUUGACAAAAGAAGAGAUAAAGUGAGUUUUGUCAUCAUCAUGGUUUCUUUCAGAGUAUAACUCGUGAACAGAUGAAAACCUAUUUUUUGCUAGAUUUUCAUGUACUCUUUUUUUGGAUGAUAAGUAUGUCAGUAACUCAAAAUCAUACGGCUAGUACAGUAUGGAACAUGAAUGCUUUGUUCAGAUUUUCAGAUGUGUGCUGGCAGUUCAAGUCUGGCAGCUGAAGUGAACAGUCGUGUUUUCUGGAGCUCCAACAAUAUGCUAGAAGGUAAGUAACUAUGUUUGUUUUGCAUUGCAUGUUUUUAUAUGUUUCAGACUUUCAAGCAGAGAUGUCAUGCUGACUGGAGUUGAGCACAGGGCAGUGACAAAGUGAAAGGUAAGUACUUUUGACUGAAUGUUUGUUCUAUGCAUGUUUUGUUUUAAUACAUUUCAGGAGUGCUUAUCCAGUGAUGAUAUGACAGUUGGAGUGAACAGUGGAGCCAAGCAGUCUUGUUUUUAGAGCUACUCAACAAGCCUUGAAGGUAAGUUUAGAAUUUCUCAAUGUUAGUGAAUUGAAGUACUGUCACUUGCUUUUGGACAGUCGAACAGAACAGACGUGGUUGCGAGAGCUCUCAUAUCUGUUGUGUUAAACUGUUUUUAUGAUAUGUUAUGUUUGUUUGUUUGUUUGUGAUGUACUAUUUUUCAGAUGCUGAUGGCAGUGAUGGGUUUUCAAGCUGACCUGAACAGAAAAGCACUCAUAUGGUAAGUACAAAAUAGUUGUUAUAUGGGAUGUUUUGUGCAUGCUUUUAUGUUUCAGGUGUACUUGCUGACAGCGACGAAGACGAAUCAAGAAGAGGAACAUUGUUGAGAAAGUGAUUGGGACUUGCAAACAGGGUAAGUGUAACACUUGUGUUUGUUUAAUUUGUAACAUGCGUGCUUUGCUCUGUUUCAGAUUUCACAUGCAGAAAUUAAACAGGAUUUCAACUGCUGAGACACAAUUCAUCAAAAGUAAGGUAAGUUUUAAUUCAUUGAUUUGAGUUGUACAAUGUGUUCUUUACUUUAUUUCAGAUUCGAGUCACUGGUUUACACAUGGAAGAAGAUUUCCACGUCUGUUACUCAACUCUACAGAAGCAAGGUAAGUCGAUCAAAUUUUUGUUUUCAUUGACUGCUGUAAUGUGAUGUUAUGCUAUUUUUCAUGUGUGCUAUGCAGAGAUGGAGAAUUCAAUUUUAAGAAAGAUUAACUGCUGCAGAUUAGCUCUGCUCUGUGUUGAUUUUUGUUCAAAAACGUUUAAAAUGUAUGUGUGUUUUCAGAUGUUUUGUUUCAGUUGAUGUCCAGAUGGCAAGCAGUACAGACGUGUUUCUUGGAGCUGCCAAACAGUGAGUACAAACGUUUUAUAUUUUUCAGUUGUUUACUCAUAGAAGUCUGUGAAAGAUGAUAACAAGGGUUGAAUUGCACAGUACUUGUGUCUAAAAAUGCUGAUGUGUGACGGUUUACUGAAAAGGGUAAAUGCUAGCCAGUAACACUUGAGCAACCGUGGGAUGUCGAACUAACUGAUGAUGUACUAUGAUGGUGAACACUUACUAUGUGUAUCGAAAUGCUUUUGUUGUUAUUUAUUAUAGACGAUUUGAUAUUGGUUAACAUUUGUUUGCAUGCUGUUAACAUUUCUAUUUCAUUUCAGUUGGCUGUGGUGAGUAUUGUAGUAUACAUUUGUUUCAAUAAAUCAUGAUGAAUGAAAACUGAUUUCGAUUCUUUUUUACAGUUUUAGGGAUUAUCACUCUAUAACAACUCUGUCGGUUGGUAUUCAUGAGUGUGAGCUUAAUACAGCAAUGUUUGAGUAAUACAAAAAAUGUAUGUACUCUUUUGUGGUCGCCAGUUGUCUGUGAUAUGUAUAGUAAAAAAAACACAACACAAAGCUAUGAAGCAUACAAUUGUUUCAAGGUUUUAUCAAUAAUUGUGUACUGUGCAUGUUUUGAUUUAGUUCGUUUCAGAUAUGACAUGACCUGAAUAUUUGACAGUCGAACAGAGCUGAGCAUUGCAGAAAGGUAAGUGUUUUGUUUGAUAUUUACCAUGCAUACUUUGCUUUGCUCUGUUUCAGAUUCACAUGCAGAAAAGGUCUCAUAGUAGCCUCAACUGUGAAUAAGGAUAUCAACUGCUGUGACUAAACUGUUGAAGAAGGGUAAGUGGAACAAUGUGUUUGUUUUAUAAGUACCAUGUAUGCUUUAUUUUGCUCUGUUUCAGAGUAGACAUACAAACAGUGUCUUGCUUUGCAUGCUAUUUUUCAGGUCUCUCAUGCAGUGAGGGAAAAGAAAAAGAUUUCAAUAAAGAAUCACUGCUGCAACUCAGCUCUUUAAACAAGGUAAGUGUUUACUAUGUUGUAUACAAAAUGUUUCUCUUUCUUACUAUGUUUCAGGUUAACAUUGCAGAGAUGUUUUGACAGCUUGUGACAGAAAAGAAAUUCAGCAGCUGUGUCUUGACUGUAGCCACAAGGUAAGUCGAAACAAAUAUACUGGUUUGUAUGUUGUGUUGUUAUGCCCUUCUAUGUUUCAGACUUACAUUGCUGUGACUGUUCCACAGUGGGUCAAAAAAGAGACGAAUACAGGUUUCAAGAAGAAAAUUGGCUGUUAAAACUCUGCACAAAAUAUGAGGUAAGUGAACUACUCUUUUGGUUUGUGUUGUGCUUUGUUCUGCUUAACUAUUUUUCAGAUUUGAGUGGUGGGUCGUUACAGAGCAGACUUUUUGACAAGUGAGAAAUUGAGAAACAGAGAAUGAUUCAAGAUCAGCUAGGUAAGUCUUGAUUAUUAUGCAUAGCUAAAUGUUGUUUUCAUUCCAGUAUGGCUGUGGUAAGUACACAAACUUUCUAUAAUUUAAUAUUGAACUGUUUUUAUGACCUGUAUUCUGCAUUGUAAAAUGUCUGUUUUUCAUUUCAGUAUCCUGUGGUAAGUACAAUUGCCUUCUUUAAUUUUCAUAUUGAACUGUUUUGAUGACUUGUAUACUACUAUGCAAUGCUUAAUGUUUUUUUCAUUUCAGUAGCCUGUUGGUAAGUACACUAACUUUCUAUAAUUUCAUAGUGAAUUGUUUUGAUGACCUGUAUUCUGCAUUGUAAAAUGUGUUUCUUUUUCAUUUCAGUAUGGCUGUGGUAAGUACAAUUGCCUUUCAUAUUGAACUGUUUUGAUGACCUGUAUUUUGCAUUGUAAAAUGUGUUUCUUUUUCAUUUCAGUAUGGCUGUGGUAAGUACACAAACUUUCUUUAAUUUUCAUAUUGAACUGUUUUGAUGACUUGUAUUCUGCUAUACAAAAUGUGCUUUUUUCAAUUUCAGGUCAGCAAUGGUAAGUAUAGUGUGUUUCUUUAUGUAUAAUUUUGUAUACAUAUUGUUUUUUUCAUCAUAGCAUGUCUUUUAUAUUUAUGCUUUGUGUAAGUAAAAUGUUCAUAAAUCAUUCUUAUCUUCAAACUAAAAAUGUAUUGUGCUAUGCAAAAUGUCUGUAUGAUUUCAGUUGCCAGAGGUGAGUACCAUUACAGUUGAAAAGUUAGUUUUGUUUAGUUAAAGUUUUGGUUCACAGUUCUGUUUGUUAUUUGGCAAAAUUUACAUGUAUGCAUUGAGUCUUGAUUUCAGCUAGAUUGUGGACUGAAGAAGAUUGCCAGCAGAGGGAUUGGAUACAAGAUACAAAGUAAGUACUGAGUUUCUUACUAAAAGUUUUGAGUUGUAUUCAUCGUGUGUUAAUAUGCUAUGAUUGCUAUGAACAUGACUUUUGUAUUUCAGCGAAGACAACAUAGGUAAGUAAAAUUGUUAUCUGUUUCAUGUUUACUGUUACAGUUCAAUAUUGUGUUUAUAAAUUGUAAGUUGUACAAACACAUUCAAAAGUUUCUGAUCAUGCUUUCGAUUUCAUUUCAGCUUUACUGCUGGACGAGUGUUCUCUACUACUAGACGUGUCAGGUUUACUACCAGGCGAGCAGUGACAACAAGGCGCCUUUGUGGAAACAACACAACAAAAAACUGUACUGCUAGACGCGCAGUGACAGAAAGGCGCCUGAACAUGCAACACAAAACAAAAAAUGCCAAUUUGCAAACCUUGAUGUGGACACCGAGUAGUCAAUACAUACGUGUGGCGUAUAGCUGCGACAAAACCGUGGGUCCAUCGCACCGAUAACUUGAACAUUGGCCCGUGUAUGGACAUCAGUGCAACUUUGUGAAUCCAUGUAUCUUUGUGAAUCCAUGUAACAUUGCGAAUGUGUGUCGAUCGAAAAAUGUGUACAUUCUGAACUGAAACGAACUCGGUGUUGCAAGUGGCAAGUGUUGACAGUGUGUAUGUUUAUGUUUAUGUUUUUACAUGAAAACUAAAGGAGAUUGUUCUCCUACCUUUUUUUUCCUUGUUUUAUUGCGCUGGCCAGCAAUAUUGAUGUAUUGAUGUAUGUGUUUGUGUUUAAACUAUGCAAUACCAAAAUCAAACAAAAAAUAAACAUUAACAGUCAUUAACUGUGUUUGGGCGGCCGAGGGGUUUAAGACUCCACAAGUGUGAAGCGCACUGAUAGCACUUGGGGGUGAACACCUCGGUAUUUCGGUGCUAAAAUGUUUUCACGGUGCUUAUCUUGACGCACUGUUAAGACUACCAACCAGUUAAUGAUUGCUUCAUCUUUAAACAAAAAGUAAGUCUCUACUUUGGCACAAGAGACUCCAAGUACCAAAUACCAACAAUUAAAAAGCAGACGUUUUUCAAAACUAUGAUCGCUGAGAUUGAUAGUCAGAUGGAGUCCUGCCCAGUUAGCUGUGUAGCGGUCUAGGGCGGGGUUGCAAGUCAAUACGAAAUGAGGCGCUAUAAAGCAACUCGUCCCCGUUAUGACCGUCAAUACUUUCGACACUAUCUGGGAAUCCUUUCAACACCACAUUGUUGCGCUGUUGGAAGGGUGGUAGGCACGCAUGGUGACAUGCCUGUGCUUUGCUAUGCGACACCAUGGUAUUUUCGUACGGUGACACGAAAUAUCUUAAUCUGGCUCUCUCAGAAACGCAGGCACGCGUUGACCGAACCUGACCGAUGACCGAGCAAUAACAUUUCUAUUAAGUGCUUCAAUGCACAAAGUCUGCUAGGCUGGGUGGGAA